rnacentral:rRNA from 1 species
UGGGGAAUAUUGGGCAAUGGGCGCAAGCCUGACCCAGCCAUGCCGCGUGAGUGAUGAAGGCCUUCGGGUCGUAAAGCUCUGUGGGGAGGGAAGAAACCGCUCGUGGCCAACAUCCACGAGUCUUGACGGUACCUCCUUAGCAAGCACCGGCUAACUCCGUGCCAGCAGCCGCGGUAAUACGGAGGGUGCAAACGUUGCUCGGAAUCAUUGGGCGUAAAGCGCACGUAGGCGGCCGAUUAAGUCGGGUGUGAAAGCCCUGGGCUCAACCCAGGAAGUGCACUCGAAACUGAUCGGCUUGAAUAUGGAAGAGGGUCGCGGAAUUCCCGGUGUAGAGGUGAAAUUCGUAGAUAUCGGGAGGAACACCAGUGGCGAAGGCGGCGACCUGGGCCAAUAUUGACGCUGAGGUGCGAAAGCGUGGGGAGCAAACAG